CCUCUAAAACUAACCCUAGCCCUAACCCUAAACCCUAAAUCCUAACCCUAAACCCAAACUCUAAACCUAACCCUGACUCUAACCCCUAACCCUGACCCAGACCCUGACCCUAAACCGUGACAAUGACCCUAAACCCUGACCAUGACCCUAACCCUGACCGUGACCCUAACCCUGACCCUAAACUCUGACCCUGACACUAAACACUGACUCUGACCCUGACCCUAAACUCUAUCACUAAACACUAAACCCUAACCCCUAGCCCUAACACAUAGCCCUAACCUUACCCCAACCCUAAUCCUAAACCCUAAACCCUAACCAUAAAAACAAACCCUAAACCUAACCCUGACCCUAACCCCUAACCCUGACCCUAACCCUGACCCUAAACCCUGACCAUAAACCCUGACCCUGACACUAAAAACUGACCCUGACCCUAAACUCGAACACUAAACCCUAAAACCUAACCUUAACCCCUAAACCCGAUCCCGAACCAUAACCCUAACACUAAACUAAACCCUAAACCCUAACCUGUGUAGGGAGUGAGGAGGUGGGAGGGACUAGGCUGGGCGCUGUGAAGGGACUCAGGAGGUGGGAGAGACCAUGCAGGGCCCUGUAUAGAGAGUGAGAGACCAGGCAGGGCACUGUACAGGGAGUAAGAUGGUGGGACAAAAGAGACAGAAACCUGUGUAGGGAGUGAAGAGCUGAGAGACCAGACAGAGACCUUUGUAGGGAGUGAGGAGGUGGGUGAGACCAGGCAGGGCCCUGAGUAGGGAGAGAGGAGAUGGAAGAGACCAGGCAGGGACAGGUGUAGGAAGUGAGGAGGUGGGAGGGACCAGGAAGGGCCCUGUGUAAGGAGUGAGGAUGUGGAAGAGAACAGGCAGAGAACUGUGUAGGGAGUAAGGAGGUGGGACAGACCAGGCAGAGACCUUUACAGGGAUGGAGGAGGUGGGAGAGAAAAGGCGGGGCCCUGAGUAGGGAGUGAGGAGCUGGGAGCAACCAGGCACGGCCAUGUCUAGGGAGUGAGGAGGUGGGAGAGGUCAGGCAGGGACCUGUGUAGGGAGUUAGGCCUUAGGAGAGACCAGGCAGAGACCUGCAUAGGGAGUGAGGAGGUGAGAGAGACCAGGUAGGAUGCUGUGUAAAGAGUGAGGAUGUAGGAGAGACCAGGCAGGGCCCUGUGUAAGGAGUGAUGAGGUGGGAGAGACGAAGCAGGGACCUGUGUAGGGAGUGAGGAAGUGGGAGAGGCCAGGCAGAGACCUGUGUAGGGAGUGAGGAGGUGGGAGAGAAUAGGCAGAAACCUGUGUAGGGAUUGAGAAGAUGGUAGACAGCAGGCAGGGCCCUGUGUAGGGAGUGAAGAGGUGGGAGAACCAUUCAGAGACCUGCAUAGGGAGUGAGGAGAUGGGAGAGACCAGGAAGGGCCCUCCGUAGGGAGUGAGUUGGCCAGAGAUCAGGCAUGUCCCUGUAUGGAGUAAGGAUAUGGGAGAGACCAGGCAGGGCCCUGUGCAGGGAGUUAGGAGGUGGGAGAGAAGAGGCAGAGAAGAGUGUAGGGAGUGAGGAGGUGGGACAGACCAGGCAGGGCUCUGUGCAUAGAGAAGAUGGGAGACACCAGACAGGGCCCUGUGUAGGGAGUGAAGAAGAGGGAGACCCAGGCAGAGUCCUGCUUAGGGAGUGAGGAGAUGAGAGAGACCAGGCAGAGCCAAGUAUAGGGAGUGAGGAUAUGGGAGAGACCAGGCAGGCCCUGUGUAAGGAGUGAUGAGGUGGGAGAGACCAAGCAGGACCCUGUGCAGGGUGUGAGGGGGAGGGAGCAUCCAGGCAGGGCCCUGUGGAGGGAGUGAGGUGUUGGGAGAGACCACACAGGUCCUGUGUAGGGAGCGAGAAUGUGCCAGAGAUCAGGCAGGGCCCUGUGUAGAGAGUGAGGAGGUGGGAGAGAACAGACAGAGACAUAUGUAGGGAGUAAGCAGAAGGGAGACACCAGGCAGGGCCCUCUGUAGGGAGUGAGGAGGAGGGACAUACCAGGCAGGGCCCUGUGUAAGGAGUGAGGAGGUGGGAGAAUCCAGGCAGACACCUGUGUAGGGAGUGAGGAGCUGGAAGAGACCAGGCAGGGACCUGUGUAGGUCCUGAGGAGGUGGGAGAGGCCAGGCAGCGUCCUGUGUAGGGAGUGAGAAGGUGGGAGAGACCAGGCAGGGCCCUAUGUUGGGAGUGAGGAUGCAGGAGAGAAGAGGCAGAGAUGUGGGAGAGACCAGGCAAAGACCUGUGAAGGGACUGAGGAGGUGGGAGAGACCUGGCAGGGCCCAGUGUAGGGAGUGAGUAUCUUGGAGAGAAGAGGCAGAGACCUGUGUAGGGAUUGAGAAGAAGGAGAGACCAGGCCGGGCCCUGUGGAGGGAGUGAGGAGGUGGGAGAGGCCAGGCAGAGCCCUGUGUAGCGAGUGAGGUGUUAGGAGAGACCAGGCAGGGCCCUGUGUAGGGAGUGAUGAGGUGAGAGAGACCAGGUAGGACCCUGUGUACAGAGUGAGGAUGUGGAAGAGAACAGGCAAGGCUGUGUGUAGGAAGUAAGGUGGUGGAGAUACCAGUCAGGGACCUGUGUAGGGAUUGAGGAAGUGGGAGAGACCAGGCAGGACCCUGUGUAGGGAGUGAGGAGGUGGGAGAGACCAUCAGGGCCCUGUGUAGGGAGUGAGGAAGUGAUAGAGAACAGGUAAGGCCCUGCAUACACAGUGAGGAGUUGGGAGAGACCACCCAGAUACCUGAGUAGGGAGUCAGGAUGUGGGAGAGAUCAGGCAGAGCCCUGUGUAGGAAGUGAGGUGUUAGGAGAGACCAGGCAGGGCCCUGUGUAGGGAGUGAGGAGGUGGGAGAGACCAGGCAGUGGCUUGUUUAGGGAGUGAGCAGGUGCGAGAGAACAUCAGGGCCCUGUGUAGGGAGUGAGGAGGAGGGAGAAAACAGGCUAACACCUGUGUAUGUAGUAAGGAGGUGGGAAAGACCACCCAGAGACCUGUGUAGGGAUUGAGGAAUGGGAGGGAACAGGCAGAGAACUGUGUAGGGAGUGAGGAGGUAGGAGAGACCAGGCAAGGCCCUGUGUAGGGAGCGAAGAGGUGGAGAACCAGGCAGAGUCCUGCAUAGGGAGUGAGAAGGCGAGAGAGGACAGGCAGAGCCCUGCGUAGGGAGUGAGGAGGUGGGAUUGACUAGGCAGGACCCUGGGUAGGGUGUGAGGAGGUGGGAGAUUCCAGGCAGGGCCCUUUGUAGGGAGUGAGGUGUUGGGAGAGACCAGGCAGAGUCCUGUGUAGGGAGUGAGGAUUUGGGAGAGACCAGGCAGGGCCCUGUGUAUGGCCUGAGGAGGUUAGAAAUACCAGGCAGGGCCCUGAGUAGGGAGUGAGGAAGUGGGAGAGAAGAGGCAGGGCCCUGUCUAGGGAUUGAAGAGGUGGGAGAGAACAGGCAGAGACCCUUGUAGGGAAUGGGGAGGUGGGAGAACCAUGCCGAGACCUGUGUAGGGAUGGAGAAGGUGGGAGGGACCAGUUAGGGCCCUGUGUGUGCAGUCAGGAUGUGAGAGAGAGGAGGCAGGGCCCUGUGUGAAUUGAGGAUGGGGGAGAGGCCAGGCAGGGCCCUGUUUAGGGAGUGAGGAGGUGGGAGAGAUCAUCAGGGCCCUGUAAAGGGAGUGAGGAGGUGAGAGAGGCCAGUCAGGGACCUGUGUAGGGAGUUAGGCGUUAGGAGAGACCAGGCAGGGCCCUGUGUAGGGAGUGAGGAGGUGGGAGAGACCAGGCAGAGACCUGCAUAGGGAGUGAGGAGGUGAGAGAGACCAGGUAGGAUGCUGUAUAAAGAGUGAGGAUGUAGGAGAGACUAGCCAGAGCCCUGUGUAGGGAGUAAGGAGGUGGAGAGACCAGGCAGGGUCCUGUUUAGGGAGUGAGGAGGUGGGAGAGAUCAUCAGGGCCCUGUAAAGGGAGUGAGGAGGUGGGAGAGACCACCCAGAUACCUGUGUAGGGACUGAGGAGGUGGGAGAGAAAAGACAGAGCCCUGUGUAGGGAGUGAGGAGGUGGGAGAUACCAGGCAGGGCCCUGUGUAGGGAGUGAGGAGGUGGCAGGGAGCAGUCAGAGACCUGUGUAGGGAGUGAGGAGGUGGCAGAGACCAGGCAGGGCCCUGUCUAGGGAGUGAGGAGUUGGAAGAGACCAGGCAGAGACCUGUGUACUGAGUCAGGAGGUGGGAAAGAACAGGCAGGACUGUGUUUAGCAAGUGAGGGGGUGAGAGAGAAUAGGCAGAAACUUGUGUAGGGAGUGAGAAGAUGGAAGACAGCAGGCAGGGCCCUGUGUAGGGAGUGAAGAGGUGGGAGAAACAUUCAGAGACCUGAAUAGGGAGUGAGGAGUUGGGAGAGACCAGGCAGGGCUCUGUGCAGGGAGUGAGGAGGCCAGAGAUCAGGCAAGUCCCUUUGUAUGGAGUAAGGAUGUGGGAGAGACCAGGCAGGGCCCUGUGCAGGGAGUGAGGAGGUAGGAGAGAUCAGGCAGGGACUGGUGUAGGGAGUGAGGAGGUGGGAGAGACCAGGCAGGGCUCCGUGUAGGAAGUGAGGAAGUGGGAAAGAACAGGCAGAAAGCUGUGUAUGGAGUGAGAAGAUGGGAGACACUAGCCAGGGCCCUGUGUAGGGAGUGAAGAGGUGGGAGAACAAGGCAGGGUCCUGCAUAGAGAGUGAGGAGGUGGGAGAGGACAGGCAGAGCCCUGCUUAGGGAGUGAGGAUGUGGGAGAGACAAAGCAGGGCUCUUUGUAAGGAGUGAUGAGGUGGGAGAGACUAGGCAGGACCCUGCUAGGGGUUAUUGAUAUUGUAAGGGUUAGGUUUAGGGUUAGGGUAGGGGUAAGUUAGGGUUAAGGCUAGCUUUACUGUAAAGGGUGGGGCCAGGUUAGGGUUAGGGUUAGGUUUAGAGUUCGAGUUAGAUCUAGGGUUUAGGGUUAGGGUUAGGGUCCGGUUUAGAGUUAUUGUUAGGUUUAGGGUUAGGGUUAGGGUAGAGUUAAGGUUAGGGUUAAGUUUAGGGUUAGGGUAAGGAUUAAGUUUAGGUCAGGGUUAGGGUUAGGAUGAGUGAUAGGGUUAGGGAAAGGGUUAGGGGUUCGUGUGACGGUUAGUGUUACAUUUACAGUUAAGCUGAUGUUUUAGGGUGUUACUGCCAGGGUUAGGGUUAGAGUUAGGGUUAGGGUUAGGGCGAGAGUUAGAGGAUAGUUUAGGGUUAGGUGUAAUUUUAGGGUUAGGGUUAGGCUUAGGUCUAGGGUGAAGUUUAGGUUAAGGAUGAGGGUUAGGAUUAGGCUUUGGUGUUUAGGUUAAGGUUAGCGUUACAUUUAGGGUUAGGCUUAGUGUUAGGUUUUGCGUUAAGUGUUUGGGUUAAUGUUAGGGUCAGGUUUAAAGUUAGGUUUAGGGUUAGGGUUAGUGUUUGGUUUAGGGUUAGGGUUAGGGUGAAGUUUAAGUUAAGGGUGAGUGUUGAGCUUAGGGUUAGUGUUGGGGUUAGGGUUAGGGUUAAGGUUAGAAUUAAGUUUAGGGUUAAGGUCAGGUUUAGAGUUAGGGUAAGUGUUAGGGUUAAG